rnacentral:rRNA from 1 species
UGAGGAAUAUUGGUCAAUGGGCGCAAGCCUGAACCAGCCAUCCCGCGUGCAGGAAGACGGCCCUAUGGGUUGUAAACUGCUUUUCCAGGGGGAGAAACUUGCGCAUGUGUUGCGCAAUUGACGGUACCCUGGGAAUAAGCAUCGGCUAACUCCGUGCCAGCAGCCGCGGUAAUACGGCGGAUGCGAGCGUUAUCCGGAUUCAUUGGUUUUAAAGGGUGCGUAGGCGGACUAUUAAGUCAGUGGUGAAAUCCUGCAGCUUAACUGCAGAACUGCCAUUGAUACUGAUAGCCUUGAGUUUGGUUAAGGUAGGCGGAAUGUGUAAUGUAGCGGUGAAAUGCUUAGAUAUUACACAGAACACCAAUUGCGUAGGCAGCUUACUGAGCCGACACUGACGCUGAGGCACGAAAGCGUGGGGAUCGAACA